rnacentral:rRNA from 1 species
UACGUAGGCGGAAAAUUAAGUCAGUAGUGAAAUCCUGCAGCUUAACUGUAGAACUGUUAUUGAUACUGGUUUUCUUGAAUACAGUUGAGGCAGGCGGAAUGUGUAAUGUAGCGGUGAAAUGCUUAGAUAUUACACAGAACACCGAUUGCGAAGGCAGCUUGCUAAACUGUGAUUGACGCUGAGGCACGAAAGCGUGGGUAGCAAACAGGAUUAGAUACCCUGGUAGUC